AUUUAAUGAUGAACUAAAUUAUUACCAUCUUUCGACUGAUCACAACGUUGAUGCCAUACAAUUUUACUGAUUACAUU
rfam:Drosophila busckii chromosome X sequence.